GUGGGGAAUAUUGGACAAUGGGCGAAAGCCUGAUCCAGCCAUGCCGCGUGAGUGAUGAAGGCCUUAGGGUUGUAAAGCUCUUUUGUCCGGGAAGAUAAUGACUGUACCGGAAGAAUAAGCCCCGGCUAACUUCGUGCCAGCAGCCGCGGUAAUACGAAGGGGGCUAGCGUUGCUCGGAAUCACUGGGCGUAAAGGGCGCGUAGGCGGACUUUUAAGUCGGAGGUGAAAGCCCAGGGCUCAACCCUGGAAUUGCCUUCGAUACUGGGAGUCUUGAGUUCGGAAGAGGUUGGUGGAACUGCGAGUGUAGAGGUGAAAUUCGUAGAUAUUCGCAAGAACACCGGUGGCGAAGGCGGCCAACUGGUCCGAAACUGACGCUGAGGCGCGAAAGCGUGGGGAGCAAACAGGAUUAGAUACCCGUGUAGUCC
rnacentral:rRNA from 1 species